rnacentral:lncRNA from 1 species
UUCUCUGUGCAUCAGCAUGCAUGUUAGUUAUUAGAGAAUGUAACAUUUUCUCAGUUUAACUCUCCUCUGAUUAUUAUGUAAUUUAAUUUGAGAUUCUUGGAGAUCCCACAUCAACUAAAAAGACAUUUUAUAAUAUAUAAGUUGGUAGAAAUUUCAUCUUCUAAAGUUUUAUAAGGUUAAAUUAGGUUUAAAGUGUACUUCUUAAUAUAAUAUCAUAAUCAUUUAAAAUUUAUGGUCUCGGCAUGAGGGAAGUUAUAUAAGUGAGUGCAACCUCAUGUUGUUAUUGUUAUGCUACCAUUUUCAUGUCAUAUAUGAACAAAAUGGUUUUUAAGAUUCCUUUCUCUAUCUUAGAAUGAUCAACAAUGAUCAGAAACAUACUCUGGUUUUUUGCAGGAGUAAAGG